rnacentral:rRNA from 1 species
AGUGAACGCUGGCGGUAGACCUAACACAUGCAAGUCGAACGGCAGCACAGUAAGAGCUUGCUCUUACGGGUGGCGAGUGGCGGACGGGUGAGGAAUACAUCGGAAUCUACUUUUUCGUGGGGGAUAACGUAGGGAAACUUACGCUAAUACCGCUUACGACCUACGGAUGAAAGCAGGGGAUCUUCGGACCUUGCGCGAUUGAAUGAGCCGAUGUCGGAUUAGCUAGUUGGCGGGGUAAAGGCCCACCAAGGCGACGAUCCGUAGCUGGUCUGAGAGGAUGAUCAGCCACACUGGAACUGAGACACGGUCCAGACUCCUACGGGAGGCAGCGGUGGGGAAUAUUGGACAAUGGGCGCAAGCCUGAGCCAGCCAUACCGCGUGAGUGAAGAAGGCCUUCGGGUUGUAAAGCCCUUUUGCUGGGAAAGAAAAGCAGCAGGUUAAUACCCCGCUGUUCUGACGGUACCCAAAGAAUAAGCACCGGCUAACUUCGUG